AAUGGGAACUGGGCAGUGUUUGGAGGUCUGUGCAAAAUCUUACUAAGUAAUUUAAGCAAUAAUACACUAGAGGGAGGCAAACAACAUGUUAUAAUGGCCCUGCUGUGCGGAGGAGCGUUCCAGGAUCACGUGGUGUGAGUGUGGUGAUGCAGGCCAGGUGGGGGCGCUGUCUUUGUAUCUGUGCUUCAAUAACUCAGUGGAGAAGAAGGAGGUCGUGUUUUGAUCUGAGAUACAGUAACGUUACUCUGGAGGAUCAGACUUUCUGCAGGAGGAACAGUAGGAACGGGUGAAGAAACCAGGGCCGUCCUGAUCCAAGUCUUCUUCCUCUCCUACUGUCGACUGAUUGACUGAUUGAAUCUACUUCAAAGUUUCCAAGCUGCUGAAAGAAGGUGGGACUGUGGCAUCCAGAAGAAACACAAGUACACGACAGACAUCUUCUGCUACAACUUAGAUAAAAAUGAAUACAAGUACGGACGAGGAGAAAAUGCACCAGUGCCCGGAGUGUGGGAAGAGUUUUGCUAAGCAGAGUGGCCUUCAAACGCACCUGCGCACUCACACAGGAGAGAAGCCUUUUCACUGCUCAGACUGUGGGAAGAGUUUUACUCAGCAGAGUACUCUAGUACAGCACCGACUCAUUCAUACGGUGGUGAAACCGUAUAACUGCUCAGAGUGUGGAAAGAGCUUCAAUAGACUGAAUCAUCUUCAGAUACACAAGUUUAUUCAUGCAGGAGAGAAGCCCUAUCUCUGCUCCGAGUGUGGAAAGAGCUUCACUCAACAGUGCAAUCUCCUACAACACCAGCGCAUUCACACCGGAGAGAAGCCGUAUCACUGCCCAGAGUGCGGGAAGAGUUUUACUCAGCAGAGUACUCUCACACAACACCGGCUGAUUCACACAGGAGAGAAGCCCUAUCACUGCUCAUACUGUUGGAAAAGUUUUACUCUGAAGAGUAAUCUCAAAAAACACCUGCACCUUCACACAGUAGGAAAUCCGUAUCACUGCUCGGUGUGUUUGAAGAGUUUUACUCAACAGAGUACUCUCAAACAACACCAGCUCAUCCAUACAGGAGAAAAGCCACAUUACUGCGCAGAGUGUGGGAAGAGUUUUACCAGGCAGACUCAUCUCCAACAACACCAGCGCAUUCACACAGGAGAGAAACCAUAUCACUGCUUAGGCUGCGAGAGGAGCUUCAGCCAUUCAAAUAGGUUUAAGACACACAAGUGCACUAAUAAUAGCCAUGAAAACGGGCAGUAACACACCUACAACUAUACCAGAUAUAGGGUAAAAACUGAACUUGCACUGCACAGAUUCUGAAGAAUAUUUCUAAAACAAAAAAAUGUUUUUAUAGUAUUUGUAACAGCAUUUAUGUACAUAUUUAGUUCAAGCUCUUACUUUCACCAUGUAAUCAAUCGUCUUUAGCAAUGUAUGUGAUUUAUACGCAGUGUAAUUAGCAACAUAACUCGCACUUUAGACCAGGUAUGGUACCUUUAGGGCCUUCAGUGCACCAAUAUGGGGGCAAAGUGUAAAUUUAGGAUUAUUGCAUUGGACUUAAGAUCUGUAGAUCUUUUUAAAAAAUAUUACAUAUUUUAAAAAAGAUUAUUAUUUUGUCAAAAUGUCUUAAAUCCACUCCCAACGGUCUAUACAAUGGCACAGACAUGAAACAAAAUUUUAUUUUUUUAUUUAUGUAAAUUGCAUUUCGCAAUUUCUAUCUUUAAUAUGCAAGUUAAUUAUUCGUUUAUCUGAUCUUAUCUGUCCAAACAAUGCUUUUUAUGGCUUUGGGGGACACUAUGUUGGGUAUAUUCAUUAUUUGCUUUUAGCUAGAGAAGAUGAUUCUACAGUCAUUGGGAAGUGCACAUUUUGCAUUGGACUUUUUAUUCAGUGUAAAAAUAUUUCCAUUUGUAUUUCUGCAAACUUUUGUUUAAGCAUCGUCAUCACAAUGUGCAAUAGUCAAAUCUAGUGAUGUGAGUAACGCUUACUUUUUUCAGUAACAAAUUAUCUAAUAGGUGUAAUAAAGUAACUUGUAAUCUAACUUUGUUAGUUUUAAAAUAAAGUAAUCCAUAAAGUAACUAAGAUACUUUUUAAAGGGGUAAUCAGUAAUCAGAUUACUUUUUCAAAAUAACUAUGCAAUCACUGGUUACAUCUCAGUUUGUGCAAUGUAAUGUAAGCUCAAAUAAACCACACACUUUACGCUACAACUCGCAUGUGCACAAACUUUUUACAAUGUUUUAAUUUGACUUCAAAUGUCAUUUAAACUACUCAAAUCUAUGAUAAACAGAGAGCUUUAUUAAUAUCAUAUCGUAUUGCAUCUUUUCUGGAGAAAACUGGUACAAAUUCCUGCAUUGUUUAAUAUUGCAUUAUAUAUCAGAACAAAAACAAAUAUUUCACAGGCCUAGUUUGUAAACAUAUUUAUGGUGGUGCUUUUUUUUUUUUUUUUUUUUUUUUGUGAAAAGGUAAUUUGUGUGGUAUUAAAAACGUUUCCCCAUGUCUGCAUAUACCAUUAAGUAAUUCAAACUAAUUGCUUAGGCCAAACCAACCCUAUGCCAUCCCUCCAUCCCUAUUCUCCCACCAAUUAACCAGCCCAUCCUUUGAAGGAGUUGAGAUGCAUUGUUGUGUGUAGCUCAGUGUGUGAGUUUUUUUUUUUUUGUCUUACUUAAGAAAGAUAUUUAUGUUUAAAAAUUUCAGCAGUGAUGUUCAAUGUGCUUUUUUUUUAUUCUGGCUGAUUGACAAUCAAAAAACUUAUUUAUUUUCACAUAUUUGUUUUCAUAAAGUUCCCAUGCUAGAUUGAAGUGGCACUAACUAGCUAGCACUUA